rnacentral:tRNA from 3 species
AAGGUUUUAAGUUAAUAUAAACUAAUAAUCUUCAAAAUUAUAUAUAAAGAAAUUUCUUUAAGCCUUA